rnacentral:rRNA from 1 species
CCUACGGGAGGCAGCAGUGGGGAAUAUUGGGCAAUGGGCGCAAGCCUGACCCAGCAACGCCGCGUGAAGGAAGAAGGCUUUCGGGUUGUAAACUUCUUUUGACAGGGAAGAGCAGAAGACGGUACCUGUCGAAUAAGCCACGGCUAACUACGUGCCAGCAGCCGCGGUAAUACGUAGGUGGCAAGCGUUGUCCGGAUUUACUGGGGGUAAAGGGCGUGUAGCCGGGCUGACAAGUCAGAUGUGAAAUCCGGGGGCUCAACCCCCGAACUGCAUUUGAAACUGUUGGUCUUGAGUAUCGGAGAGGCAGGCGGAAUUCCUGGUGUAGCGGUGAAAUGCGUAGAUAUUAGGAGGAACACCAGUGGCGAAGGCGGCCUGCUGGACGACAACUGACGGUGAGGCGCGAAAGCGUGGGGAGCAAACAGGAUUAGAUACCCGGGUAGUC